UACGAAGGAUGCGAGCGUUAUCCGGAUUUACUGGGUUUAAAGGGUGUGUAGGCGGACUUUUAAGUCAGCGGUGAAAUCUCCGGGCUCAACCCGGAAACUGCCAUUGAUACUAUUGGUCUUGAAUGUUGUUGAGGUGGGCGGAACGGGUCAUGUAGCGGUGAAAUGCAUAGAUAUGACCCGGAACACCGAUUGCGAAGGCAGCCCACUAAGCAACGAUUGACGCUGAGGCACGAAAGCGUGGGGAUCAAACAGG
rnacentral:rRNA from 1 species